rnacentral:rRNA from 1 species
UAAGCGACUAAGCGUACACGGUGGAUGCCCUGGCAGUCAGAGGCGAUGAAGGACGUGCUAAUCUGCGAAAAGCGUCGGUAAGGUGAUAUGAACCGUUACAGCCGGCGAUGUCCGAAUGGGGAAACCCAGUGCAAUUCGUUGCACUAUCGUUAACUGAAUACAUAGGUUAACGAGGCGAACCGGGGGAACUGAAACAUCUAAGUACCCCGAGGAAAAGAAAUCAACCGAGAUUCCCCCAGUAGCGGCGAGCGAACGGGGAGCAGCCCAGAGUCUGAAUCAGCUUGUGUGUUAGUGGAACGGUCUGGAAAGUCCGACGGUACAGGGUGAUAGUCCCGUACACCAAAAUGCACAGGUUGUGAACUCGAAGAGUAGGGCGGGACACGUGGUAUCCUGUCUGAAUAUGGGGGGACCAUCCUCCAAGGCUAAAUACUCCUGACUGACCGAUAGUGAACCAGUACCGUGAGGGAAAGGCGAAAAGAACCCCGGCGAGGGGAGUGAAAAAGAACCUGAAACCGUGUACGUACAAGCAGUGGGAGCACCUUCGGGUGUGACUGCGUACCUUUUGUAUAAUGGGUCAGCGACUUAUAUUCUGUAGCAAGGUUAACCGUAUAGGGGAGCCGCAGGGAAACCGAGUCUUAACUGGGCGUUAAGUUGCAGGGUAUAGACCCGAAACCCGGUGAUCUAGCCAUGGGCAGGUUGAAGGUUGGGUAACACUAACUGGAGGACCGAACCGACUAAUGUUGAAAAAUUAGCGGAUGACUUGUGGCUGGGGGUGAAAGGCCAAUCAAACCGGGAGAUAGCUGGUUCUCCCCGAAAGCUAUUUAGGUAGCGCCUCGUGAACUCAUCUUCGGGGGUAGAGCACUGUUUCGGCUAGGGGGUCAUCCCGACUUACCAACCCGAUGCAAACUACGAAUACCGAAGAAUGUUAUCACGGGAGACACACGGCGGGUGCUAACGUCCGUCGUGAAGAGGGAAACAACCCAGACCGCCAGCUAAGGUCCCAAAGUCAUGGUUAAGUGGGAAACGAUGUGGGAAGGCACAGACAGCCAGGAUGUUGGCUUAGAAGCAGCCAUCAUUUAAAGAAAGCGUAAUAGCUCACUGGUCGAGUCGGCCUGCGCGGAAGAUGUAACGGGGCUAAACCAUGCACCGAAGCUGCGGCAGCGACACUAUGUGUUGUUGGGUAGGGGAGCGUUCUGUAAGCCUGCGAAGGUGUGCUGUGAGGCAUGCUGGAGGUAUCAGAAGUGCGAAUGCUGACAUAAGUAACGAUAAAGCGGGUGAAAAGCCCGCUCGCCGGAAGACCAAGGGUUCCUGUCCAACGUUAAUCGGGGCAGGGUGAGUCGACCCCUAAGGCGAGGCCGAAAGGCGUAGUCGAUGGGAAACAGGUUAAUAUUCCUGUACUUGGUGUUACUGCGAAGGGGGGACGGAGAAGGCUAUGUUAGCCGGGCGACGGUUGUCCCGGUUUAAGCAUGUAGGCUGGUUAUCCAGGCAAAUCCGGAUAAUCAAGGCUGAGGUGUGAUGACGAGGCACUACGGUGCUGAAGUAACAAAUGCCCUGCUUCCAGGAAAAGCCUCUAAGCAUCAGGUAACAUCAAAUCGUACCCCAAACCGACACAGGUGGUCAGGUAGAGAAUACCAAGGCGCUUGAGAGAACUCGGGUGAAGGAACUAGGCAAAAUGGUGCCGUAACUUCGGGAGAAGGCACGCUGGUGUGUAGGUGAAGUCCCUGCGGAUGGAGCUGAGACCAGUCGAAGAUACCAGCUGGCUGCAACUGUUUAUUAAAAACACAGCACUGUGCAAACACGAAAGUGGACGUAUACGGUGUGACGCCUGCCCGGUGCCGGAAGGUUAAUUGAUGGGGUUAUCCGUAAGGAGAAGCUCUUGAUCGAAGCCCCGGUAAACGGCGGCCGUAACUAUAACGGUCCUAAGGUAGCGAAAUUCCUUGUCGGGUAAGUUCCGACCUGCACGAAUGGCGUAAUGAUGGCCAGGCUGUCUCCACCCGAGACUCAGUGAAAUUGAACUCGCUGUGAAGAUGCAGUGUACCCGCGGCAAGACGGAAAGACCCCGUGAACCUUUACUAUAGCUUGACACUGAACAUUGAGCCUUGAUGUGUAGGAUAGGUGGGAGGCUUUGAAGCGUGGACGCCAGUCUGCGUGGAGCCAACCUUGAAAUACCACCCUUUAAUGUUUGAUGUUCUAACGUUGGCCCCUGACCGGGGUUGCGGACAGUGUCUGGUGGGUAGUUUGACUGGGGCGGUCUCCUCCCAAAGCGUAACGGAGGAGCACGAAGGUUAGCUAAUCCUGGUCGGACAUCAGGAGGUUAGUGCAAUGGCAUAAGCUAGCUUGACUGCGAGCGUGACGGCGCGAGCAGGUGCGAAAGCAGGUCAUAGUGAUCCGGUGGUUCUGAAUGGAAGGGCCAUCGCUCAACGGAUAAAAGGUACUCCGGGGAUAACAGGCUGAUACCGCCCAAGAGUUCAUAUCGACGGCGGUGUUUGGCACCUCGAUGUCGGCUCAUCACAUCCUGGGGCUGAAGUAGGUCCCAAGGGUAUGGCUGUUCGCCAUUUAAAGUGGUACGCGAGCUGGGUUUAGAACGUCGUGAGACAGUUCGGUCCCUAUCUGCCGUGGGCGCUGGAGAAUUGAGGGGGGCUGCUCCUAGUACGAGAGGACCGGAGUGGACGCAUCACUGGUGUUCGGGUUGUCAUGCCAAUGGCACUGCCCGGUAGCUAAAUGCGGAAGAGAUAAGUGCUGAAAGCAUCUAAGCACGAAACUUGCCCCGAGAUGAGUUCUCCCUGAGACUAUAAGUCUCCUGAAGGAACGUUGAAGACGACGACGUUGAUAGGCCGGGUGUGUAAGCGCAGCGAUGCGUUGAGCUAACCGGUACUAAUGAACCGUGAGGCUUAACCU